rnacentral:rRNA from 1 species
CCUGGCUCCGAUGAACGCUGGCGGCGCGCCUAACACAUGCAAGUCGAACGAGCGAGAGAGAGCUUGCUUUCUCGAGCGAGUGGCGAACGGGUGAGUAACGCGUGAGGAACCUGCCUCAAAGAGGGGGACAACAGUUGGAAACGACUGCUAAUACCGCAUAAGCCCACGGCUCGGCAUCGAGCAGAGGGAAAAGGAGCAAUCCGCUUUGAGAUGGCCUCGCGUCCGAUUAGCUAGUUGGUGAGGUAACGGCCCACCAAGGCGACGAUCGGUAGCCGGACUGAGAGGUUGAACGGCCACAUUGGGACUGAGACACGGCCCAGACUCCUACGGGAGGCAGCAGUGGGGAAUAUUGCACAAUGGGGGAAACCCUGAUGCAGCGACGCCGCGUGGAGGAAGAAGGUCUUCGGAUUGUAAACUCCUGUUGUUGAGGAAGAUAAUGACGGUACUCAACAAGGAAGUGACGGCUAACUACGUGCCAGCAGCCGCGGUAAAACGUAGGUCACAAGCGUUGUCCGGAAUUACUGGGUGUAAAGGGAGCGCAGGCGGGAAGACAAGUUGGAAGUGAAAUCCAUGGGCUCAACCCAUGAACUGCUUUCAAAACUGUUUUUCUUGAGUAGUGCAGAGGUAGGCGGAAUUCCCGGUGUAGCGGUGGAAUGCGUAGAUAUCGGGAGGAACACCAGUGGCGAAGGCGGCCUACUGGGCACCAACUGACGCUGAGGCUCGAAAGUGUGGGUAGCAAACAGGAUUAGAUACCCUGGUAGUCCACACUGUAAACGAUGAUUACUAGGUGUUGGAGGAUUGACCCCUUCAGUGCCGCAGUUAACACAAUAAGUAAUCCACCUGGGGAGUACGACCGCAAGGUUGAAACUCAAAGGAAUUGACGGGGGCCCGCACAAGCAGUGGAGUAUGUGGUUUAAUUCGACGCAACGCGAAGAACCUUACCAAGUCUUGACAUCCCUUGACGAUGCUGGAAACAGUAUUUCUCUUCGGAGCAAGGAGACAGGUGGUGCAUGGUUGUCGUCAGCUCGUGUCGUGAGAUGUUGGGUUAAGUCCCGCAACGAGCGCAACCCUUAUGGUCAGUUACUACGCAAGAGGACUCUGGCCAGACUGCCGUUGACAAAACGGAGGAAGGUGGGGAUGACGUCAAAUCAUCAUGCCCUUUAUGACUUGGGCUACACACGUACUACAAUGGCGUUAAACAAAGAGAAGCAAGACCGCGAGGUGGAGCAAAACUCAGAAACAACGUCCCAGUUCGGACUGCAGGCUGCAACUCGCCUGCACGAAGUCGGAAUUGCUAGUAAUCGCAGAUCAGCAUGCUGCGGUGAAUACGUUCCCGGGCCUUGUACACACCGCCC